UUUCCGUAGGUGAACCUGCGGAAGGAUCAUUACAGAGUUCAUGCCCGAAAGGGUAGACCUCCCACCCUUGUGUAUUAUUACUUUGUUGCUUUGGCGGGCGCAAGAUCGCCAGAGAAUACUAAAACUCUUUUUAUUAAUGUCGUCUGAGUACUAUAUAAUAGUUAAAACUUUCAACAACGGAUCUCUUGGUUCUG
rnacentral:misc_RNA from 1 species